UACGAAGGGGGCUAGCGUUGCUCGGAAUCACUGGGCGUAAAGCGCACGUAGGCGGAUUGCUAAGUCAGGGGUGAAGUCCUGGAGCUCAACUCCAGAACUGCCUUUGAUACUGGCGAUCUUGAGUCCGGGAGAGGUGAGUGGAACUGCGAGUGUAGAGGUGAAAUUCGUAGAUAUUCGCAAGAACACCAGUGGCGAAGGCGGCUCACUGGCCCGAUACUGACGCUGAGGCACGAAAGCGUGGGGAGCAAACAGG
rnacentral:rRNA from 1 species